rnacentral:lncRNA from 1 species
UGACAAUGUAAUAUUUUCUGUAAGUUGCCCAUGUCAUGAGAAAUACUGCAUCAAUAACGUAUUUUAAUUUUUUUGUUUUAUACUUUUUUUAAGUAUCAAUUUUUCCAUUCUAGUUUAAGUUAAUACUUAAAUUUGGAUGAUUAUGUUAGCUGACAGCGGUACUGAUGUUUCUUUUUGUUGUUAGUGACUAGUAAUUGAAUGCAAUUUAGAAUAUAUACCACAUAGCUUUACAAAGUUUAGCCUAAAGGCACUACUAAUGGUAGAAUGCUUUAAUACAUGCUAGAGUAUUAUAUUUAGUAAUAAACAUACAUAAUUAGCCAACAUCACAGCUUAAAAAGACAAAGACAGAAUCACACACUUUUCUAUAGUAAGAUUUCAUAAUUGCCAUUAGAGGUAUGGUGAGAUAAGUAUUAAAAAUUUUUAAAUGUCAGUUGCCCAGUAAUGGGUAAUUAAAAAGAAAGUAUAGUUUUUAAAAGAGGAAAAGGUAAGGGUAUAGAGGGUCAAAAAUAGGUCACUUGUAUAAAACGUUGUAGUUUAAUUUAUAUAAAGCUACCAUAAUGAAAAAGAAAAAAAGCCUAAACACAGUUGGAGCUUGUUUCAAAUGACUGUACACUAGAUCUUGCCAUCCAUCAGUGCCGUACACUAAGUCAACUGAAAAUGAAGUAAGCCUCUAUCUUUAUAGUGCUUCUUUUAAACUCUCUCUCCCAAAUAUCUUAUUUACAGAUGUUUUCAUUUGUAUAUAGUAAACACACAACUAUAAGACAUCAGCUUGUUUUGAAUUUACAUGCCAUGCAGUUCAGCAUUUACAUCCUACAGUAUAUGGGUGGCACAAACUGAGCAACUGAAGUAGCCCCUGAGCAUAUUGUUAACAGCUUUGUUCUGCGCCAGAACUACCAGGAUCUCCCUUUUCACCACUUCCAUCUCUUACAGCAUCUGACUCCUUCCUAAAGAAGAAUAAUGUUAUAUUUCAACCCAAAGAUGAGAUCCCCUGCUUGCUUGAAACAUCCUGUUUACGUAGAGAGAUGCAUGUAGUUUUCUGUAGGGGGUGAAACUGUGCCUGACAUUGUCUGUGAGUUGUCAUGUUUUUUGUUUGGGGGUUUUGUAAGCACUCCUCUGAGUCUUUCAAAUACAUCUGAUAGCUGCAAUAAAAAUGAUUUGUUCAAG